GCGGCUGUCACUCGGGCCGUCGCCUCCACAGUGACUGCACGGUGGGAGCCUGGGUCACCCGCCACCUGGAUGUGUGCCAGGUGGCCGCAGCUGCUCCGGGGGAAAGGUGUGGCCUGGGCCGUGGGAGCCCCGCACCUCUCGCGUGGAGGUGAAGGAUAGACCGACUAGUCUGUCCAGAAAAUAGUUGAAGAAUACAUCCUUCAGAUGGAUUUAACUGCAGGAGACAGAGCAUAUUCUUCACAGGGGCUUUAAUCUACAUGUGUAUUCCAAGAAGAUGGUUCAAUUGACUACUAUAGAGCAUGAGAACAUGGCUCAGGAAGACACCAGGCAAGGAGACUGUGAGGCACAUGCAACAGGCCUGAAGCAGAGCUACCCAGCUGACUGGCAGACCAUGAACAAGAAAAUCAACAUUUACCAUAAGGUCUUAAAUGAUGCAACAUUAAAAUGAAGUAUAUCUUAUUAAGGUGAAACUUUU